rnacentral:lncRNA from 1 species
ACAGAUAAACUUUGCACACACACAGAAAUCAUCUUGUCUACUAGGAGAUUUAGUUGGCUCUGCCAUAUACUGCAUGUUUCCAGGUUUCUUUUUUUUUUAACAUGUCAUAGUCAGGGAAGAAAUGAAUACACUGAGAAACAAGGAACAGGAACCUCAAAUUUUUCAAAGGUAUCUGGGGGUAGGGGGGUGUGAAAGAUUCCAAAGCAGCGUGGCGAAGUCCUGUGAAAACCACCUCAGAGCUUGCCCCUCUCUGGCCUGGAGCCCACUGCCUGCCACCCCCGCCCCACGCCAUCAAUCCUCUGUCCCUCUCGGGUCACGAACACUCACGCAGGUGCGCAGGCAGGCGGAUCGAGUCUUCCUCCAUCCUGAGCGCUCGAGGCACUGGAACAUGAAGUGGCGUCGAGGAAGCGUAACUCGGCACUGGGCUCUCUGGAGGUGUAUAUGAAAUUCGUUCCUGCUGUUAAAAAUAAGGGCAGGAAGAGGGGAGGGGGAGAGAGACAAUGAAAGCUUGGAAUGGAGGUAUGAGACCAUCUCGGGGUGGGGAGCAAAAGGGAGGCGGGGCAUGGGCAGUACCAGCUUCCCAAGCAAUCCGGCUUACUCUCUCCGUAGAGACACUGUAUACAGUUGUCUUUCAGAUGCCUAGCCUUGGGGCUAUAUAACAAAACUCUGCCAUCGUUGAAAACAGCCUUUACUUUGGACUCAUGUCAAUAGGUGUACACCCUGUGGUUUGUACAAGUAAAAAG